CAGUAGCCACGGUAAUACGAAGGGUGCAAGCGUUAAUCGGAAUUACUGGGCGUAAAGCGUGCGUAGGCGGUUUGUUAAGUCUGUUGUGAAAUCCCCGGGCUCAACCUGGGAAUGGCAAUGGAUACUGGCAAGCUAGAGUGUGUCAGAGGAUGGUGGAAUUCCCGGUGUAGCGGUGAAAUGCGUAGAGAUCGGGAGGAACAUCAGUGGCGAAGGCGGCCAUCUGGGACAACACUGACGCUCAGGUGCGAAAGCGUGGGGAGCAAACAGGAUUAGAUACCCCUGUAGUCCCUGUCUCUUAUAU
rnacentral:rRNA from 1 species